rnacentral:rRNA from 1 species
CUGUGCACAAAUUGUAGACCUUUCAGUAGGCCUAUGUUGUUUUUCACAAUCUCUGAAUGUAAUAGAAUGGUUUUGAAUCUUGGGAAAUACAAUACAACUUUCAGCAACGGAUCUCUUGGCUCUCGCAUCGAUGAAGAACGCAGCGAAAUGCGAUAAGUAAUGUGAAUUGCAGAAUUCAGUGAAUCAUUGAAUCUUUGAACGCAUCUUGCGCUCCUUGGUAUUCCGAGGAGCAUGCCUGUUUGAGUGUCAUUUAAAACUUCUCAACCACUUGGAGUCUCUCUGGGUGGCUUGGAAAUGGGGGAUGUGCAGGCCAGCUAAUGGUCUGCUCCCCUGAAAUGAAUUAGUGGCAUCUGAGCAGAGACUACCACAGGUGUGAUAACUAUUGAUCAAUGCCUUGGUAUAUAC